rnacentral:tRNA from 1 species
GGCGACGUAGCUCAGCUGGUUAGAGCGUGGGAUGCAUAAGCCUAAGGUCGGUGGUUCAAAUCCACCCGUCGCUA